UCCAGACUCCUACGGGAGGCAGCAGUGAGGAAUAUUGGUCAAUGGGCGGAAGCCUGAACCAGCCAAGUCGCGUGAGGGAUUAAGGCCCUAUGGGUCGUAAACCUCUUUUGUCAGGGAGCAAGGUCGUCCACGUGUGGGCGUAUGGAGAGUACCUGAAGAAAAAGCAUCGGCUAACUCCGUGCCAGCAGCCGCGGUAAUACGGAGGAUGCGAGCGUUAUCCGGAUUUAUUGGGUUUAAAGGGUGCGCAGGCGGAGGUGCAAGUCAGCGGUCAAAUUGCGGGGCUCAACCCCGUACUGCCGUUGAAACUGGCGGCCUCGAGUGGGCGAGAAGUAUGCGGAAUGCGUGGUGUAGCGGUGAAAUGCAUAGAUAUCACGCAGAACUCCGAUUGCGAAGGCAGCAUACCGGCGCCCGACUGACGCUGAGGCACGAAAGCGUGGGUAUCGAACAGGAUUAGAUACCCGUGUAGUA
rnacentral:rRNA from 1 species